GAUCAGCGUUGAAACACUCCACUUUGUCCUGGCAUUUUUCUACUUCUACUGGAAUCUACAGCAAAAACAAAGAAGACUAAAGCUACAAGGGGACUGGACGCAAAACUAAGUGUGAUGGCCAACAGGAGCAUUUCACACGACAGUGUAACGGCAUGAAGGUUCUCUGAUUUGUGCCAAAGGUCACAUUUGCCCAGCUGGGUCAAGCUGGGUCAAACAGUACUUUGAAUCCACAGAUUAAACCCAAGGAGCCACGAUCAUAACACCAGUAUCUGCUGUUCCGUCCCAAGAAGGACACUUCAAGCCACGAUGAUAAUAAUUAAAUAAUAAUUAAUAAACUUAUGAUUUUAUUACUGUUUAAAUAAUCAUUUCAACAUGAUCACUUGGUUCAGAUAUAAAGGUAUUUUAAUUACAUGAAAUGGAUUAUUAUGCUUUGGGUAUUAUAAUGAUAAUUAUUAUAAUGAUUAAAGAUGUGUUCAGCAAAGAAGACUUUCACCCUGUUCAGCCAACACAGAGUUCAGAUAACGAUAACUGCAUCACAUGUUUUUUGACGCAUGACCAAGCUUUCUUCCGGAGAGAGGGAGGGGUUCUGAGAGGGUUUGGUAAAGACUAACCAUCACAGAUUUCACGUCAGUUCUGGAACCAACACCACGGGGAAAGGAGAACGGCCGUCUCCUAACCUCCACCUGCUGUUCUGUCAUGCCGACGAGAAUGGCUAAAGAACAAACGAACCGUAAACCAGCUAACACAAGAUUCUCCCAGAGUCAUUGAUUUCUGAAGUUAAUUUAAAUACGGAAACGUGCAUCUGCCAAACGCUUCGUACAGCCAUGUACCCGGCAAUCACUCUGGACCAGAGCAUCGGACACUCGCGUCUUUCUGCCAGCCCCGAGUGUCAUCUUGGAUGAACCCAUCCUCCGAUCUCCGGAUCCACAAGAGGGUCAGCCUGAUUGGGUGAGGUAGAACACGACAGAUGACGUUUGAUGCUGUUUUCUCUAAAAAUAACUCAGUUAUCCGCAAAACAUCAUUUUCACCAGAACGCUUCCAUUCCCUCUGAAAGAAACCUUCUGAGAACUUCAUUCACGCAUUCCAAAACUCACCAUUCUCAUUUUUAGUUCCAUCCAACACAGGUUUGCUUUUAAUAUCAAAGCUGUUGAGGAUUGUCAUUAAAAUUGCCAUCCAUGAAUUGUCAUUUUUUAUAAUUAAUUGUCGCUUCAAAUUUUCUGUUUAAAAUUGUUAGAAUAAAACUUCUUCAUUUUUAAACUUGCCUCAUUAUUGAAACGAAACACAGAAAAGGGUUGCAUUUCCAGUUUAUGGAAUGAAAAGAAUCUUACUGAAUCUUCUGUUUAAUAAAUAAACUUUUGCUAUUAAUUUAAGCAUCUUAAAUUAAUAUUCACACCAUUACAACAGAUCUUUAUUUACAGAAUCACUCGUCAUGCUUGAGCCAGUCGGCAUGCUCACAGGUCUGUUGGUGGUGUUCCUUCCAGUAAAUAAAACUCAAGACCAACCAAAACACAAUGAACUCCUUUUUAUGGGAUAAAAGCUGACAAAUAAAAAUAGAUGACACAACUCCCACACUUGUAAAUCUAAAUUUUGUAAAUUUGUUUUCAUUGUUAAAAGGUUUUAAAGUUUUACUCAGUCCUUCCAGGAAGCUACAUUCAUAACUAAACUAGCAAAUCCAGCCAACUGCCACAGAUAUUUCUUUAUUUUUAUAUUUUAGGGGGAUAAAACCACUUGAGCUAAAGCAUCUCAUUUUCGAGUGGGUCCUCUGACAAUAGAGCAAAUAAAGUACAAGCAAGCAGAGGGUAUCUGCAGGUUUAAGGGAGCCAAAUUUAAGACUUUUUAAGACCUUUUUUAAGGCCACUUUGACCAAAUUUAAGCUGUUUUUAAAAUUAAAUUUAAGCUAUAAUUUCCAGCUAUUGCCUGGAACCGGUGCUAACCACGUCGCGAACUUGGGAUUAACCAUCCAGUUACCAUUAAACUUGCACUUCCCCAUGGCGCAAGCUCCCACUAGCUUAACCAGCUAAUGUGCUCAUCUAAAAAUAGCCCCCUUUCACAACCAACUGAAUGUGUACGGUUCCACUUACGCUAACAUCGUACACAAAAAAUGCUGAACACUGACUAGAAAUUCACGAAAAUUGUAUAGAAAUAAAAUAAUCUUGUUUAUUGGGUCUUUGGUAAUUUAAGACCUUUGGAAACUGUAUUUAAGGAUUAUGUGUCAUUUUUAAGAAUUUUUAAGGCCUUAAAUUUGGAAAAGCAAAUUUAAGACUUUUUAAGGACCCGCGGAUACCCUGCAAAUAGACAAGUCGAAGACAUAAAUCAUAAACAUAAUUUUUUUUUAAAUCUACAUCUGGUUUUUGUAUUUGCACAGAAACGCGAUGAUCCCCAAUCACUCACUGUUUCUUUAAGUAGAGAUGCCAAAAUGUUACUGUGUCCCACAACUGAAGAUCAUAUUAGCUUAUUAUUAUUAUUAUUAUUAUUAUUACCUUUAAAAUUCACACGUGUGCAUUUCUUAAAACAUAGCAUGAGAAAAGUGGCGGAUUCUGGUUCUUUUCUUGUCUAGUCCCGCCUGUUGCAUUUGCUAAUUGGUUCUAAUUGGCCCAAAGUUUCUACGCCACACAGCUAGGAUAUUUUCUAACCACGUGGACGUGGACGGUCCUGUGCGGAAAAACAUGGCGGACUGGCAAGAGCUCGUAGUGGCAGUUUCCUAAGUACAGACAACUUUAUGAUUCGGCCAAAAAGACCACCGUGAUCAAAAUGUUGUCAAUUCUUGGAGAGAAUGUAGAGCCCUAUGCUGCCCCUUACAGCCUGGGAGUAUGCUGGCUCACAGCAGGGAAAAGCCGGAGAAGGUAUAAAUUAGGGGUGGGAAUUGAUGUCGAUUCUGUCUAUCGAUCCAAUUCCUUAUCAAUUCCAGAGUAGUUAAACAGGUGGCAAAAAACUAAUAGCGCACGGCUCCUGCAAUAUAACUCAGUUUCUUUAUGAUGAAUAAUCUGUAUCGGUUGGAAAGAUCUUUCCAAAUGUUCUCCUUUAUGCUCCCUGAGAAGGCAGAGCCAUCUUCUGGUUCGGUGCAGUGUUGCUGUAGCUUUUGCUCCAUCACAACUUUACCCUUUAAAUAUUUAUGACUAAAUGUUAUUUUAUAAUUGAAUUAUAACUACGUCUACAUCAUGACAUGAUACUGAUACCUGACUGUUCUUUGAGUAUUCUCUGAGCAAUGCGAUCCAGGGUUCCCAGUUUUUGGCUGAACGUGUCCAAGUACUCUCCCAUGGCACAGAACUCCGAUGGCCGUGCCCGCAGCUUGUAGCCUCCGGUUACGUGCUUCACAGAUUCUCCCACUUUAGUCAGCAGGGCUAAGCCCUGCCGCUUGUUGAGGUCCUGCACAGAUCCAAGACAAAAAUACCUAAAUAGCAUCACUUUAAAGCCACUUGAUUUUAACAUUUUUAUUCAUAAUAUGAAUUUGUUCUCUAUAUUAAUAUCUCAGUGAGGCUACUUUCCUUUUUGCUUACUUUUAGUCAUUAAUUCAACUAUAAGCAGAUAGUUGUCCUACCUUUGCAGUCAGGAAAGCAUUGAGAUGUGGGUUGAAGGAUAGGACGGGGUGGUCAGCAACUCGCUUUAAGAAUUUAUCCAGAGCUUUCAUCCUCGUCUCCACAAACUCCUCUGAGAACCGAUCCACCACGCCCUUCAUCACAAAUUUCUCAGGAAGCGGCUGGAGAUGUAGAAGACGAGACGAGAAUGUAAAUGAGGAGCAUCUCACUGAUAAUCAGCAUUAAUGUGGCGUAGAAAUCUAGACAGAUGGCAGCCGAAGCAAAAAUUAUUUUGUUCUGCAGCAGUGGCUCAGUAGGUAGAGCGGGAUGUCCAGUAGUCGGAAGGUUGCAGGUUCGAUCCUGUGCUACUCACGUGCACGGACAGCAGCGAGACGCGGAGAAAGUGUGAGAUAAUGAUCAGAUGCACUGAUGGAAAUCGUUUGUUACGUCUGUGAUGCUCUCGGGGCGUAACAUGUAAAAUAUCUACGCACAAGUCAUUUACGAACAUACUCAUGGCCAAACAAACAAGUAAACAAAGAAACAGCCCAUCACCAGUGGUAGAAUAAUUCAUCCCAAUGCCCAACCCUAGUGGCCAGAUUAUAUAUUCACAUAGAUAGGAUGGCUUGCCAGGUUUGUAUUAAUGGGUUGCAAAAGAAAAACAGAAAAAAGCUCAUGGGCCCUACAGGGAUGAGGUGGGUUGGCUGGCUGUCUUCCAGCUUUGUCCUCAGCCAGUCAAAGUCCUGGUAGCGCCGUCGGACACAGUACUCUGGCAGGUCAAACUCUAUCCGUGUUGUCUGAAAUAAGACGAAAGAAAUGUUUCUGUUACACAUUAAUCAAAUACACUUUUCUCUAAGAUUCAGAUUUUUCUUCAUUUUCUUAAAAUUACCAAACAGAGAAAACUGCAAGAGUUCCUGAUAAGUUUAUUAAAUGAUAAAUAUUGCAGAAUUUCACCAACAUGAUCGACUAAAUGAUGUUGUGUACACAAGCAAACACCAUUAACAAUUUGAGCUCACAUUAGGCCAUGACAUGUGUGCAGCCCCUUGAGCCUCAUCAACAGUGGACAUGGCAACUGUAGCCAGUGAGCGGCUACAGCCCGCAUCCCCCUCUAAAUCCAUGUUUCAAUAAACAUCAGGAAGGCUUCAAACAGCUGUUGCUGGAACAAACAGAGCUCUGUCAGGUCGAGUUGUGACUGCUAAACAGCAAGCAUGUGAUGGAAAAUGCCACACACACACACAGAAAAAAACA